rnacentral:tRNA from 1 species
UUUUAGUAGCUUAUUAGAGCGUAAUAUUGAAGAUAUUAAGGAAAAUGGUUUUUCUAAAGUAU